GCGCCUUCCAGGCAUGACGAAAAGAAGUAGUAUUCUUUCCCAGAACUGAUUUCCAGGUAAACUGUCAAUAGCCAUGUACGCAAAGUAUCCCCAGAGAACUGAUGUAGGUAUUAGCUUUAUUGCAGGCAUAGCGCAUACUGAUCCUGCUACUAGAAGCGACUGCAAAAGAUUGCUCACUCUUUGUUCAUUAACUCUAACAGGCAAGUAAGCAUCAAUAUGCUUCUCAGGAUCAAUUGCAUAUUUGGGAUUUUCUUCCUUGUCUUCCCCUUUCCUCACUGCCUCCUUCAAGUCUUCCAGCUCUUUAGCUACUGCAAUCUGCAGUUAAACGCAGACUUUGAGUAUUAGCAAUUGUUUGAUACAUUGGGGACAUACUUGUGCAAUUCUACAUUUGGACUUACAGCUGGACUACUGUCCAUUUCUAUGAAUAAAGCUUGCAUCUUGCCAUAUAUUUCCGAGUUGCUAGCUUUCUGUUUGAUGCUUUCUUUAGCACUUUCAACCAUUUUCCUCCGAAUCAACUGCACAUUAUUAGACCGAUUAAAGAAGUACAGUUUAUGGACCUUACACUAUAAGAAAGUACUCCUUUGAGUAGUUAAAAGAAAAAAACUGGAUACUAAUAAGCAUUAGAAAAAACACACCAUAACCAAAAACCUUUCACUAACAUUUCAUAUGUUAUUAAUUAUUACUUCUAACAUGCAUCAAACUAUGUUAAAUCUUUUAUUUGUUGUGGUGUUACCUGUCUCUUUAGGACAGCAAGGCUCUUUGUGUGCAUCGGCGACUGGGGUAGAACUCCAUUUGUAGGAGGUAGUCCAAGCAAUCCACAAAGCAAAGUCUGGAAAACCAUUUAGAUAAUAAUUGAAUAUAGGGUUUUGGAAGAAAGCAUAGGAAAAUAGACGGUUUAAGGUAUUAUAUAGGCACGUACCAGAAAUCCUAGCAAUAAAAUGUCAUAAUGGUAUGCAGAAGGAUUUUUAAGAUUGAACUCCUUUUGUUGUGCAAGCUGCGAAGCUACACUGUGGUCGAAAAAGUAAAGUCCUGCUAUCAUCAGAGCAGGAAUAAAGGCUGCAAAGAUGUAUGCUGGAGGAACAUUUCCCAUAUCCUGAAGAUUGAAUAAACAGAUGGACAUACUCUCAAAGAAAGGCUGAAAGAUAGUCGUGGAGCUCUGGUAAUUUCCUCAUAUUCAGCUGCAUCUAGUUCUCGUAAAUGAUGAGGACUAAACAGUUUUUAGAGGCUGAGUCCAGCAUGGGUAUACCAGGCCCAACUCGAAGAACCAAAACUAAUGAUCAUAACAUGUCUGUGGAUUGACAAUGUUUAAUUUCAAAUAACAUGGCCUUUGCUGUUCAUUUUUAGAUAAAAAUUUUUGGUGACUAAAAAGCAUUUACAGAACGAGAAACUUAAGACAUAAAUAACAGCAAAAGCUUAGGGAGAACUUGAACAAGGAGAGGAUACUACUAGUACAAGACACACGAAUCUUCUUAUUAACAAAUAAAUUGAUAGACUCGCCUAUUACAAGUUAAUUAGAAAAAGUAACCUCAUUUCAGUCAAGCUAAUGCAAUAUUGUGUCCGGUUUACAUUAAACUUCUGUAUGCUUUACAGCUGAAUCCCCCAAAUUCUUCAUCAAACUCAAACCAAGUUCGACAAUAUCAAUUUUCCCCAGAAGAACAUCCGAGAAUUCAGGUACUUGUUCUUGAUACUUGAUCACAAACAUGUCCAAGAAUUUUUCUUCAGAAUAUCCAAGAAUAGAAGCUAAACUGAUUUCUGCUCUGAUCAAACCCUUCAGAAUCAAAACUCUUAAAACUGAACACCUUGGAACAACCCUCUUAUCGAAACUAUAACAUAAAACAACUGGAUAUUUUGCAACAAUUGCAGGCUGCCAACCCAUUUUGUUCACAAGAAAAUCUAUCUUCUUUAUAAUUGUCUUCUCUGAGUAACCCAUACACAGUGGACGCUUUUUGAUAACAGACCAUAUUUCUUCUUCCGAAAAACCCGACCUACUGUAAGCAUCAAUUUUUCGCUUCCAUGUUUUGGAUUUCAUUUGAAUUAUCACUCGAAGAGCAUCGGCAAAUGAAAGAUUCAGAGGAUCAAAUCCCAUACCUAUAACAUUGUUGACAGCUUCACUAAACUUUUCAGAAUUUGUGCAUACAGUGUUGGGGCAACUGGUAAUCAAAAUAGAGAUGGUAGAUUGACGCAUUCCGAGCUCCCUUAAGACUGAUAAAUUGACAGGCAAGUGUUCCUUGACAUAGCACAUAUUGAAUGCUGAUAUGCGUUUCAAUAUAAUAAGCACUUUCUCAUCAGAAAAUAACAAACUUUUAAUAACAGCAUAAACUGGGAUCAAAAGAUUGUUCAAGCUGCCAGACAAGAAAACUGGGUUCUUAGAUAUCAUCACCGGAAGGUCUAAGCCAGAAACCCCAAUAGAACGUAAAAAUUGAAUCUUUGGUAAUAUUGUCUUCACGGGAUCGAAUAAAAUCAACUUGGGCUGUCCCCUAANNNNNNNNNNNNNNNNNNNNNNNNNNNNNNNNNNNNNNNNNNNNNNNNNCUUUGAAACACGUUUAGCAGAUUGUGAGGAUAAGCCACAUGAGUUGAUGAGGUAUGACACUGUAAAAGAGUGUGUAUUAGAUUUAGAUGAGAAAUACCUGAUUGUAACCAGUGCUUUAAAAUGAAUAAUACCCAAUUGGGCACUGUUCGAGUCUAACAGCGCAUGACCCCAAUCAUUUAACGCCAAUCUUCUAUUGGAGAAACGGAACAUCAUAUGAAAGGCCAACUCACCGAGUUUAGGAGGGGAAACAGCUGGAAUUGGACGUUUUGCUUUAUCUGCCUUGUAAAUCAGUGAGCUAUAAAAUCGAAAAUACGAUUUUUACCCAGAAAACCAUUCAGCAAUACGAAACUUUCUGAGAAUUUAACAUCAAAAGAGCCAUAAUAUUGCCUGCUCUGCCUCCAUUCCGGCAGUUCAAGAUAGGUCACGGUACUUAAGCGUUUUAGGGUUUUGCAGUUGCAAGAGCGAAGAGGAGAAAUCAAUUAUAUUUACUCAAACACGCUGCCGUUUUCAGUUAGCUGGUGCUUUUAGAGGCUGAGUCCAGCAUGGGUCAGCAUAAUACCAGGCCCAACUCGAACCGAAACUGCAUUUCUUUCCCUGAACUGAUUUCACCGUUGUUGUUGCUUUUCAUUUGUAAUAAAAUUAUUUGUAAUGGAAAACAGUUACAAAAUGAUAUAUAGGGAUAUGCAGUUGCAAAAGAGAGCGAGAGUGAAGAGGAGAAAUCAAUUUUCAAUGUAAUUUUACAUUUUUUUAUCAUUUCGCAGUUGAUUGCCUUUGUCAUUGCAUUUGUCAUUACAUCUACAACUACUAAUGACGAAUUCCAAACCAUCACAUAUCAGCAAUAAUUCUAAAAACUGGAAAAAGAAAAGAAAAGUUUAAAAUGAUUCUGUACAAAUUACAAUAAUCAUCUUUUCUUAGCAGCUCCAAAAUCUUUUCUUUUGUUUUGUUUUACUUUCUCCUACUUCUUGUCUUCGCUUGCCAAUUGUUAUUAUUUCACUGUUCUUCAGUAAUUUCCUCAGGAUAAAUCUGCAGUAAAGAUAUGAACAUGUAAAAAUGAAAAUGUCGAGCGAAAAAAGAAAAAUUGUCUAACCUGACUGCGAUUUUCUUCAUGGAAGCUUACGGUUCUAACUUUGAACUCCCCUCUGCUAGUAGUUAGCUCAUCUAACAUUUCCGCAUCACACACUUGGACUUUCCCUUCCUCAUUUCCUAAACCAGUUGCUUCAUUUUCCUGAUAAUUAAAAAGAAAAUGCACAAAAUUAGUACUAAUCCAGAAGAAUGUGUAUAUAGACUAAAGAUUGAAUAAACAGAUGGACAUACUCUCAAAGAAAGGCUGAAAGAUAAGCGUGGAGCUCUGGUAAUUUCCUCAUAUUCAGCUGCAUCUAGUUCUCGUAAAUGAUGAGGACUAAACAGUUUAGGAAAUAUGUGCUGCCUUAUCCAAAUCAGAAUAAAGAAUGGCAAUGGAAACAGAACUCCAGCUAUUGGAACCCAUGUUACACCAAAACAGACCAGGAAAUACACCAACUGUAUGAGUGUAAAAAUAGCAGUGUACUUGAAUGGAACUGAUUCAACAAAUGAAGCAUGAACUCUUUCCAACACCCUGUCAAAAGAAAAUUAUCAGCAAACAUAUAUACUAACUUCAAGAAACCAUAUGCAAUAAAAUAUUUAACUAAAAAAACUUUACUUGUAGCGCCUUCCAGGCAUGACGAAAAGAAGUAGUAUUCUUUCCCAGAACUGAUUUCCAGGUAAACUGUCAAUAGCCAUGUAUGCAAAGUAUCCCCAAAGAACUGAUGUAGGUAUUAGCUUUAUUGCAGGCAUAGCGCAUACUGAUCCUGCUACUAGAAGCGACUGCAAAAGAUUGCUCACUCUUUGUUCAUUAACUCUAACAGGCAAGUAAGCAUCAAUAUGCUUCUCAGGAUCAAAUGCAUCUUUAGUAUUUUCUU
rnacentral:lncRNA from 1 species